UGGGGAAUAUUGGACAAUGGGCGAAAGCCUGAUCCAGCCAUGCCGCGUGUGUGAAGAAGGCCUUUUGGUUGUAAAGCACUUUAAGCGAGGAGGAGGCUACUUAGAUUAAUACCCUAGGAUAGUGGACGUUACUCGCAGAAUAAGCACCGGCUAACUCUGUGCCAGCAGCCGCGGUAAUACAGAGGGUGCGAGCGUUAAUCGGAUUUACUGGGCGUAAAGCGUGCGUAGGCGGCUUCUUAAGUCGGAUGUGAAAUCCCUGAGCUUAACUUAGGAAUUGCAUUCGAUACUGGGAAGCUAGAGUAUGGUAGAGGAUGGUAGAAUUCCAGGUGUAGCGGUGAAAUGCGUAGAGAUCUGGAGGAAUACCGAUGGCGAAGGCAGCCAUCUGGCCUAAUACUGACGCUGAGGUACGAAAGCAUGGGGAGCAAACAGG
rnacentral:rRNA from 1 species